rnacentral:rRNA from 1 species
AUUGAACGCUGGCGGCAUGCCUUACACAUGCAAGUCGAACGGUAACAGGUCUUCGGAUGCUGACGAGUGGCGAACGGGUGAGUAAUACAUCGGAACGUGCCCGAGAGUGGGGGAUAACGAAGCGAAAGCUUUGCUAAUACCGCAUACGAUCUCAGGAUGAAAGAAGGGGACAGCAAGGCCUUGCGCUCACGGAGCGGCCGAUGGCAGAUUAGGGAGAUGGUGGGAUAGAAGCUUACCAAGCCGACGAGCUGUAGCUGGUCUGAGAGGACGACCAGCCACACUGGGACUGAGACACGGACCAGACUCCGACGGGAGGCAGCAGUGGGGAAUUUUGUACAAUGGGCGCAAGCCUGAUCCAGCCAUGCCGCGUGCAGGAUGAAGGCCUUCGGGUUGUAAACUGCUUUUGUACGGAACGAAAAGACUCUGGUUAAUACCUGGGGUCCAUGACGGUACCGUAAGAAUAAGCACCGGCUAACUACGUGCCAGCCGCCGCAGUAA